UCUGGUUGAUCCUGCCGGAGGCUACUGCUAUUGGGGUUCGAUUAAGCCAUGCGAGUCUAAAGGUUCUUCGGAACCUUGGCGAACGGCUCAGUAACACGUGGAUAAUCUGCCCUUGGGUGGGGGAUAAGCUCGGGAAACUGAGUAUAAUACCCCAUAGGUCCGGGAGGCUGGAAUGCACUCGGACUGAAAGUUCCGGCGCCCAAGGAUGAGUCCGCGGCCUAUCAGGUUGUAGUCAGGGUAACGACCUGACUAGCCUUCGACGGGUACGGGUGUUGAGAGACAUAGCCCGGAGAUGGACUCUGAGACACGAUUCCAGGCCCUACGGGGCGCAGCAGGCGCGAAAGCUUCGCAAUGCGGGAAACCGUGACGAGGGAACCCCAAGUGCUCAUGCAAUGCAUGAGCUGUUUAUUAGCCUAAAAAGCUAGUAGAGUAAGGGCUGGGUAAGACCGGUGCCAGCCGCCGCGGUAAUACCGGCAGCUCGAGUGGUAGCCACUUUUAUUGGGCCUAAAGCGUCCGUAGCCGGUUUGGUAAAUCCCUGGGUAAAUCGUGGUGCCUAACAUCACGACUUCCGGGGAGACUGCCAGACUUGGGAACGGGAGAGGUUAGGGGUACUUGCGGGGUAGCGGUGAAAUGCUAUAAUCCUGCAGGGACCACCAGUGGCGAAGGCGCCUAACUUGAACGUGUCCGACGGUAAGGGACGAAACCCUGGGUCGCGAACGGGAUUAGAUACCCCGGUAGUCCAGGGCGUAAACGCUGCAGGCUUGGUGUUGGGGAUCCCGAGAGGGUGCCCAGUGCCGGAGUGAAGAUGUUAAGCUUGCCGCCUGGGGAGUACGGUCGCAAGACUGAAACUUAAAGGAAUUGGCGGGGGAGCACAGCAACGGGUGGAGCGUGCGGUUUAAUUGGAUUCAACGCCGGAAAACUCACCGGGGGCGACGGUUACAUGAAGGCCAGGCUGAUGACCUUGCCAGAUUUUCCGAGAGGUGGUGCAUGGCCGCCGUCAGUUCGUACCGUAAGGCGUUCUGUUAAGUCAGAUAACGAACGAGACCCCCUCCCUUAUUUACUAGGUGUCCCUCCGGGGAUGCUGUACUAUAAGGGUACCGCUGCUGCUAAAGCAGAGGAAGGAGGGGGCAACGGUAGGUCCGUAUGCCCCGAAUCUCCCGGGCUACACGCGCGCUACAAAGGGCAGGACAAUGGGCUGCGACACCGAAAGGUGAAGCCAAUCCCGAAACCUGCUCGUAGUUCGGAUUGAGGGCUGCAACUCGCCCUCAUGAAGCUGGAAUCCGUAGUAAUCGCGGGUCAACAUCCCGCGGUGAAUAUGCCCCUGCUCCUUGCACACACCGCCCGUC
rnacentral:rRNA from 1 species